rnacentral:rRNA from 1 species
AUUGAACGCUGGCGGCAUGCUUUACACAUGCAAGUCGAACGGUAACAGGGUGCUUGCACCGCUGACGAGUGGCGAACGGGUGAGUAAUGCGUCGGAACGUGCCGAGUAGUGGGGGAUAACGCAGCGAAAGUUGUGCUAAUACCGCAUACGUACUGAGGUAGAAAGUGGGGGACCUUCGGGCCUCACGCUAUUCGAGCGGCCGACGUCUGAUUAGCUUGUAGGUGAGGUAAAGGCUCACCUAGGCGACGAUCAGUAGCGGGUCUGAGAGGAUGAUCCGCCACACUGGGACUGAGACACGGCCCAGACUCCUACGGGAGGCAGCAGUGGGGAAUUUUGGACAAUGGGCGAAAGCCUGAUCCAGUCAUGCCGCGUGUCUGAAGAAGGCCUUCGGGUUGUAAAGGACUUUUGUCAGGGAGGAAAUCCCUAGUGCUAAUAACACUGGGGGAUGACAGUACCUGAAGAAUAAGCACCGGCUAACUACGUGCCAGCCGCCGCAGUAA